AACUAGCCCAGACAUUAUUGAGCAUGAGACUCUUAAUCUCAGGGUCAUGGGUUUGAGCCCCAUGUU
rnacentral:tRNA from 1 species